GUCGGCAGCUAGCUCUCUGCAACUCUCACAUGGUCGCCCACUGAAGCUAAGCAGGGCUGCGCCCGGUCAGUACCUGGAUGGGAGACCACAUGGGAAAGCUAGGUUGCUGCCGGAA
rfam:Danio rerio chromosome 2, GRCz11 reference primary assembly.